UAGGGAAUCUUCCACAAUGGACGCAAGUCUGAUGGAGCAACGCCGCGUGAGUGAAGAAGGUGUUCGGAUCGUAAAGCUCUGUUGUUGGUGAAGAAGGAUAGAGGCAGUAACUGGUCUUUAUUUGACGGUAAUCAACCAGAAAGUCACGGCUAACUACGUGCCAGCAGCCGCGGUAAUACGUAGGUGGCAAGCGUUGUCCGGAUUUAUUGGGCGUAAAGCGAGCGCAGGCGGAAUGAUAAGUCUGAUGUGAAAGCCCACGGCUCAACCGUGGAACUGCAUCGGAAACUGUCAUUCUUGAGUGCAGAAGAGGAGAGUGGAAUUCCAUGUGUAGCGGUGGAAUGCGUAGAUAUAUGGAAGAACACCAGUGGCGAAGGCGGCUCUCUGGUCUGCAACUGACGCUGAGGCUCGAAAGCAUGGGUAGCGAACAGG
rnacentral:rRNA from 1 species